UACGGGGGGGGGCGAGCGUUGUCCGAAGUUACUGGGCGUAAAGCGCGUGUAGGCGGGUUGUUAAGUCCGCUGUGAAAGCCCGGUGCUCAACGCCGGAGGGUCGGUGGAUACUGGCAGUCUUGAAGUGGCUAGGGGGAAAUGGAAUUACCGGUGUAGCGGUGAAAUGCGUAGAUAUCGGUGAGGAACACCAGUGGCGAAGGCGGUUUCCUGGAGCCCACUUG
rnacentral:rRNA from 1 species